UUUUUUUUUUUGUGUGGUGGGGGUUGGUGUUUUGUGUGUGCAUUUUUUUCUUUUUUUCUUUUUUUUUUUUUUGCAGGUGGGGGCAGGGGCUCAGAUUUGCAAACCCAGCGCCAGAGGCUCCGUGUGGGGCAGCGGUUGGGCCUGGGUCCGCAUGUCCGAGGCACGUGGUCAGCACGGUGCUGCUUCGGGGCUGGUCCAGGGGCCCAAAGGCGGGAGACCUCCAGCCUGGUCCAGAGGGGAGGGGCGUGACCCUGGGGGUCCCCAGCCCGGAGCGUUCAGGGGCCCUCUGCCCUCAGGCCCUGGUCAGAACACCUUAGGAAGGUAGUCGCAGGGACAAAAUGGUCCAUCCUGAGAUGCUGAGAGGCCUCGGGCUCCAACACGGGCCGGGCCUGGGCCUCUUCGAUGCCAGGGAAGGACCCCCACAGACCCCGCAGGCCCCAGGAGCGUUGUGCAGGGGCCACACGCUCCUCUUUUAACAGCUCCACCACAGCUUCACAUUGAAGCACAUAAUAACAGUAUUAGCUGGUAAAACGAUCCUGCAGUUAAAAUACAUCUAAUUAGCAGCCGAGGACAUCCAUUUUGGCAAUUUCCUAUUUGAAAGAAGCAGAGUGUUACCUUAAACGAGACAGGCCGGGCGUAUUCACCCAGCAAGCCCUCGCCUUCCCCUCAUCUGUCUCCUUCUCCCUCUCCCUCUUUUGGGGGGACUGGGGGUGGGUAGGGAGUGGGGAGCGGCUGAGACAGCAGGAGUGGAAAAGAAAGAUUCUUCGGCGUCUUCUUUGUUGGUUUCAGGCUACGCGGGUCUUGAGGGAGGAGCGCUCAAAAAAUAAAUUCCUUCCCUCUACAGGUAUUAUUGCGUGUCUUUUUCUUAGUUUUUAAUUACUACAAACUAAGAAACCAGCAAAGACUAGAACUUGUUUUUCAGUUCAUUAUUACACACACACACACACACACACACACACACACACACACAUACACACAUACGUAUAUAUUUAUGUGUAUAUAAAGAGGGAGAGAGGGACGAAGCAGAGAGAAAAGGUAUCCCAGGCAUUAAGUGAAUACAGUAAGCCAGUUGCCAUGAGAACCUGCAGGCCCAGGUCGUCUGGUCCCCAAGGCAGGCCCUGAGGGUGAGUGGGUGUCGGGCAUGGCUCAGUCCCUGCACCAGAGCUUUGGAAGGACCCAGAAAUUCUCUAUGGGGACCUGGGACUUCCCAGGUCACACUCUGCACCCUUGGACUCUCAUUUAGUCUGAGCACCCAUCGGGGGGGGGGGUCCCCUGCUGCAGUGGGUUUGGGCUUGGGGGUGCAUCACAAGGGUCCGUGAGAGGAGAAGCAAGGAAAAGGAGAAAUCAGGUCUCCCAGGGUUUGCCCAGCUGUGUUUAAAGCAUCCUUUGGGGUCAUUCCACAGGAGACAUGAAAAGAGAGAUCGGCCCUCACACUGCAAACAGCAGCCCUCUCACAUGGCUGGGAGGGUGGGGGUCCCAGCGCAGGGGAAGGGGCUGCGUGGCUUCCCUCAUGGCAGCCCGGUCCUGUCUGGCCUUAGAGGGGGGCAGGGGGGCAGGGCAGCAGGGAGGCAGGGGCGGGCCCGAAAUGACAUCUCUGGGUUUAAGGCUGGGUCUGCUGCCACUCCCCCAGGGACCACCCAGGGACCACCCAGAGCCCUGUGUGAAGACCAGGGCCAUCUUCCAGCACCCUUGUUCCCAAGAAGGCCACCUGGCACCCACCAGGCCGCCUUCCCCCACGCGCCUGCGCGCCUGCUGCCUCACGCAGUCCUGGCAGGGUGAAUCACCCCUCAAACUAUUUUUGCUCCCCGGUGUGCUGGAAGUUUGAUGCAUCCCAGAGAAGGGAGAGGCCAGGCCAGGAACAACUGUGCCCACCCCCCCAAAAAACACCACCACCAAAACCCGUCUCCCUCCUUCCAGCAGGGCCCGGAAAGGGAACACCCUCCCCAGCAGCCACGUCCUGCAAUUAGAAGCAGGCACAGAGGCGCACCCCCUGGCCAGCUCCAAAAGCACCUGUUUCCAUGGCUGCCAACCCCAAUUUCCUCAAGAUGCAAGCAGCUGAACUACUCCGGGGCAACAGAUCCCCUUUCCUGUGCCCUGAGCCAAGGAUCCGUGAAGUUACGUCACAAAUUCCAAAACCUUCCCAAAGGCCCCGGGAGGGAGCGGAGGAAAAGUCAGGCACUGCUGGGGAGGCAGGGCGUGGCGGAAGCACAUUCUGUCACCUAUGGGGGUAAGACGGAGGUGGCUGACCCCACGCUCAGGGCUGACCACGCCAAGCCGGGUGGCACCUGCAGGAGAAAGCGUGCAGACGCUCCUUUUGCUGUCAUUUGGGGAAAUCCCUGGAGCUCUCUGAACUGCUGGAGUGCCAGCAAACACAAUCAUUUGUCCUCCAGCCGGAACGUGAGGCCUAUGCACUGUGGCUCUGGGACACCUAAGAGGUAUGNNNNNNNNNNNNNNNNNNNNNNNNNNNNNNNNNNNNNNNNNNNNNNNNNNNNAAGGGUCGGCCAACUGGGAGUCCCUCCGAUCCUGGCAUGGGCAGGUCUGGGGACAGCAGAAGGUGAAACCGUGUGUUUCACUGGCUAGAACAAUGUAUGCACGCUCAUCUAUUAUACAGAGAUUAUACAUACAUGCACGCACACAUGCACGCGUGCAUAGAUCAGCAACGUGGACAUGUUAAAAUGUCUGCAUGCAUCCCACUGAAUGUAGAGAGGCAAGGACAAACUGGAGUUGACAGAUUCUCUGAAUCUCACCAGCAAAAACAGCCAACCCACACCUCGCAGAGGAAUUUCCCCUUUGCCCCUGCUUUGGGCCUGCCCUCCGCGUGGAAGCUGGGUAGCAGCUUCAACCUGUAGCAGUUUCUGCCCUAAAGCACAACUUAUCCAAGAUCCUCCAGUAAUGUUCUCUUGGAAAAAGAGAAGAGCCACACACAGAAUAUUACCCGUGUUUCAUGAAGCCCCCCUGGACGAAAAGCUCAGUCCAUCAAUGGAAGUCAGAAGCUGGUUAGACCAUUUGGAUUUCAAGCAGGAGGAAAUCUUUCGGGAAUGGGGUCAGGAUCCCAGGACCCUUCCCCAGAUGGAUCUCAGAGGCCAGGCAUACCUUGGACAUGCCCCUCCUCGUUUCAAGCUGGAGGGAAGAGGGGGGAUCCACCGUCAAGACAGAAGUCUCGCGUCACAUGACAAGGGCAGCCCGGAGGUGAUUCUCCAGAUUUGGUGCCUACAGUGAGGUUUCAAUUAGCGCCAUGUUUUGUUUCUCAUCAGCAUCCGCUGUGCCUGGCCUCUAAGAGAUGCCCGGGGAACACUGAAUCCAGACACUUGUCUACACCGGGGGAGCUUAGAAGAGGGCACGGUCUACAGGUCGCACAAACGCCAGCAUGGACCUUGCCGCGUGCAGGGUGCACAAGGGAAUAACAAGGGGAAAGUCGGAACCGGGAGACUCCCAGGGAAUUAAGAAGGAAAACCAGGCAGCACAGCCCAUGAAAAGAACCUGAGCGCCCAGCAAGGUGACUGUGAUGACUCCAGCU
ensembl:lncRNA